rnacentral:tRNA from 2 species
ACAUCUGUAGCUUAAUUGGAUAGAGCGUUAUAUUACGAAUUUAAAGGUUGAAAGUUCGAAUCUUUCCAGAUGUA